rnacentral:rRNA from 1 species
UACGAAGGGGGCGAGCGUUGUUCGGAUUUACUGGGCGUAAAGGGCGCGUAGGCGGCCCUCCUAGUCGCGUGUGAAAGCCCCGGGCUCAACCUGGGAAUUGCGCGCGAAACGGGGGGGCUUGAGUUCGGGAGAGGAGCGUGGAAUUCCCAGUGUAGAGGUGAAAUUCGUAGAUAUUGGGAAGAACACCGGUGGCGAAGGCGGCGCUCUGGACCGAGACUGACGCUGAGGCGCGAAAGCUAGGGGAGCGAACGGG